AAGACUUUUAACAUGAAUGGAGUGUUGGAUUUUGUUGAAUGCCUUUUCAGCAUCUAGUAAGGAACUAUGGAGUAUUCUGAAUACCAUCUGAGACAUCCUGCCUUGUAGACCAAACAACUAACCUUAGGAGUAUUCUUGAAUUUUCCAUCAGUUGACAGGUAUUAUCAGAGUAGCUGGAACACAGCCUCUAAGCCUGUUCUUUGUGAGAGAAUGAGCUUGGCCUGAAGUAGAAGUUUCUGAUUAUGCAGACUCCUGUGGUGUUUUGCUGAGGGUACUGGAAGUUUCUAUGAAAAGGCAUGAAAGUUGAAGAACUCUGUUGGAUGAGGAGGGGUACACCAAAAGGUGGGGGCAAAAACGGUCAAUGGUGGUGAAUAUGAGCAAAGUAAAUUCUACAUGUAUAUAAACAUGUAUAGUAUGAAGAAUCUUUUUGUGUAAUUAAAAUGUUAAUAGAAGGGGAGGACAAUAAAAAUCUUAGAAUUGUAAUCCCAUGCAAGUAUACCAAUAUCAUUUACUGUGUUAACAUGAAAGCAAUGACAAAAUAUUAGAAAGCCCUCACAACCCCUAACAUUUAUGUGGAAAUGGUCAGACUCUUUAAGCUAUUUUUCAAAUAAAGUCUCUG
ensembl:lncRNA